GACGAACGCUGGCGGCGUGCUUAACACAUGCAAGUCGAACGGACAGGCCCUGCUUUUGUGGGGUGCUCGAGUGGCGAACGGGGGAGUAACACGUGAGUAACCUGCCCUUGAAUUUGUGGUAACUUCAGGGAACUGGGGCUAAUACCGGAGAGGAUCUCCUGCUGCAUGUUGGUGGUUGGAAAGUUUCGGCGGUUGGGGCUGGUCUCGCGGCUUAUCGGCUUGUUGGGGUGGUAGGGGUGUACCAAGGUUUUGAGGGGUAGCCGGCCUGGGAGGGUGACCGGCCACAUUGGGCCUGAGAUACGGCCCAGACUGCUACGGGAGGCAGCAGGGGGGAAUAUUGCGCAAUGGGCCGAAGUCUGAUGCAGCAACGCCGCGUGCGGGAUGCCGGCCUUCUGGUUGUAAACCGCUUUCGCAUGUGACGAAGCGUGAGUGACGGUAAUGGGUAAAGAAGCACCGGCUAACUACGUG
rnacentral:rRNA from 1 species